UCUCCUGAGUUCUACUAAAUUUAUGGAAAUUACAGUAGAACUGGACAGGAGGAAAGGACUACUCAGAGCAGAGACAGAAUUGCAGUACCAGACAGCAGAAGGACUAAGUCUUCAGACUAUGACUAUCCAUGCUGUGGGGGACCAGAGCAUCUUCUGUCUAUGGACUAGACAUCCAGGACCCAAAACCAGCAGUGUACGAGCUGAGAGAUCCUAAGUCCAAGAACAGCAGCAUCUGCCUGUUCACCGACUUCGAUUCUGAAGUCAAUGUGUCAAAGGACAUGGCAUCUGAAGUGUUCAUCUCUGACAAGACUGUGCUGGACAUGAGGUCUAUGGAUUCCAAGAGCAACGGAGCCAUUGCCUGGAGCGACCAAAAUGGUUUCAACUGUCAAGAUGUCUUCAAGGAGAACGCCUCCUACACCAGCUCAGACAUUCCCUGUGAUGCCAAGUUGAUAGAGAAAAGCUUUGAAACAGAUAUGAACCUAAACUUUCAAAACCUGUCAGUGAUGGGACUCCGAAUCCUACUCCUGAAAGUGGCCGGAUUCAACCUGCUCAUGACGCUGCGCCUGUGGUCCAGUUGAGGUCGGCAAGACGGAAAGAGGCUGAACUCCCAAGCCCCUUCCUCUUCAUCACCCCUCCUCGCCCUCUUCAAGCAAAAAGGAGCCCUCCCACCCCAUAAAGAAGGCUCUCGGUCUGACUGGCUCACAACCCCGCCACCGCCACCGACAGGAUCUCCUGACUUUGUGAUGGAGCUUGCUGAACAGCUGCUAAUUGCUACUGUACCUACUGCUGCUGGCCAUUCACAGGAAAGGCGGGGGCUGCGAUUUCUUCUGGAUAUGAAGACCCCCCCACUUCCCCACCCUCCACCACCCCUCCCCAUCCCAUGACAGAUCCCCAGUAGAAGCUCCUGGAGAAUGUUGUAAAGAACAUGUUUUUGUUUUUUGUUUUAAAGCAUCCAUAAAGACCUCCACAUUACCCUUUCCUCAAGGUGUAGAAAAGAUGACCUCAUUGUCUAGACCUUCCCUGCUACCGUGUGUGUGUAUCUGAGCCACAUUGUAUAUCGUUCUGCUGCCCGUGACUUCAUUAAAGAUGACUCAGAAAAGCAGAAACUGUGA